rnacentral:rRNA from 1 species
AGCAGCCGCGGUAAUUCCAGCUCCAAUAGCGUAUAUUAAAGUUGUUGCAGUUAAAAAGCUCGUAGUUGAAUUUCGGGGUUAGUAGGUUGGUCAUGCCUCUGGUAUGUACUGGUCUCACUGAUUCCUCCUUCCUGAUGAACCGUAAUGCCAUUAAUUUGGUGUUGCGGGGAAUUUGGACUGUUACUUUGAAAAAAUUAGAGUGUUUAAAGCAGGCUCACGCUUGAAUACAUUAGCAUGGAAUAACGGAAUAGGACGUUUGAUUCUAUUUUGCUGGUUUCUAGGAUCGACGUAAUGAUUAAUAGGGAUAGUUGGGGGCAUUAGUAUUCAAUUGUCAGAGGUGAAAUUCUUGGAUUUAUUGAAGACUAACUACUGCGAAAGCAUUUGCCAAGGAUGUUUUCAUUAAUCAAGAACGAAAGUUAGGGGAUCGAAGACGAUCAGAUACCGUCGUAGUCUUAACCAUAAACUAUGCCGACUAGGGAUCGGAUGAUGUUAAUUUUUAAUGACUCAUUCGGCGCCGUUA